UUGGAUAUUAUUUGAUUUUGUUCUUUAUAUACUCCAUCAUUCCACACUUCACUACACUUCACUCAACCUUCUCCUCUCUCUCUCCUCCAUAACCGUCCACACCAUCACCUCCACCAUCUUCAAAUCUUCAACUUUGUUCUUGAAGAUCAAGCUCCAUUCCAAGCUAGAUUCAAGUUGGUGUGAAGAUCUAAAGGAGUUUACAAGGUGUUUUCAAGUGAUUUCAACCUCCAUGUCAUCAAAAUCUCAUCAACAACUUACUUGAAUCUUGAAGGAUGGUUGCUUGUUCGACGAAUUAACAAUUUGAGGGAUUGUGUUAUCACAUAAAAACGCACCCAAAGGUGAUGUUGCUUGAUGUUGAUUGCUAGGAUGCAUGAGUCACAUAGGAUCUGGACGAGGCCUUAGUGACAUAAUAAUAAUGAUAGCCGAUAUAUAUAACCUGUUGUUUCAUGCUAAAACAAUGUAAAUUACUUAAUGAUUAAAUAAAACGAAACUCUUUUGUAUCCAUGGUUGCGAAACAAUAAUUCUGUUACAACACUCCCCGACGUUUCCGCCACGAUUU
rnacentral:lncRNA from 1 species